GAUGAAGAACUUAGCGAAAUGCGAUAAGUAAUGUGAAUUGCAGAAUUCAGUGAAUCAUCGAAUCUUUGAACGCACCUUGCACCCUUUGGCAUUCCGAAGGGUAUGCUCGUUUGAGUGUCAUUGUACUCUCACACUCCCAAUUGCUUUGGAUUGGGAGCGGUGGACUUGGGUGUUGCUGCUUGACUGAGGCUCACCUGAAAUAUGUUAGUGCACCUCUUGAUUGGACAUAGUACGGCGUGAUAAGUGUCUUCGCCGGCUCCUCGCAAAGAGGGUGGCCGAUCGGGAGCUCUGUUGCUUCAAACUGUCUUCGGACAAUCUUCUGGCGACUUGACCUCAAAUCGAGUAGGACUACCCGCUGAACUUAAGCAUAUCAAUAAGCGGAGGA
rnacentral:misc_RNA from 1 species